rnacentral:rRNA from 1 species
UUGGUAUGCACUGGCUUUACUGAUUCCUCCUUCUUGACGAACCGUGAUGUCAUUAAUUUGGUGUUGCGGGAAAUCAGGACUGUUACUUUGAAAAAAUUAGAGUGUUUAAAGCAGGCUAGCGCUUGAAUACAUUAGCAUGGAAUAAUGAAAUAGGACGUUAAUCCUAUUUUGUUGGUUUCUAGGAUCGACGUAAUGAUUAAUAGGGAUAGUUGGGGGCAUUAGUAUUCAAUUGUCAGAGGUGAAAUUCUUGGAUUUAUUGAAGACUAACUACGGCGAAAGCAUUUGCCAAGGAUGUUUUCAUUAAUCAAGAACGAAAGUUAGGGGAUCAAAAACAAUCAAAUACCGUCGUAGUCUUAACCAUAAACUAUGCCGACAAGGGAUCGAAUGAUGUUA